AGAGUUUGAUCCUGGCUCAGGACGAACGCUGGCGGCGUGCUUAACACAUGCAAGUCGAACGAUGAUGCCCAGCUUGCUGGGCGGAUUAGUGGCGAACGGGUGAGUAAUACGUGAGUAACCUGCCCUUGACUCUGGGAUAAGCCUGGGAAACUGGGUCUAAUACUGGAUACUACCGUCCACCGCAUGGUGGGUGGUGGAAAGGGUUUUACUGGUUUUGGAUGGGCUCACGGCCUAUCAGCUUGUUGGUGGGGUAAUGGCUCACCAAGGCGACGACGGGUAGCCGGCCUGAGAGGGUGACCGGCCACACUGGGACUGAGACACGGCCCAGACUCCUACGGGAGGCAGCAGUGGGGAAUAUUGCACAAUGGGCGGAAGCCUGAUGCAGCGACGCCGCGUGAGGGAUGACGGCCUUCGGGUUGUAAACCUCUUUCAGUAGGGAAGAAGCGAGAGUGACGGUACCUGCAGAAGAAGCGCCGGCUAACUACGUACCAGCAGCCGCGGUAAUACGUAGGGCGCAAGCGUUGUCCGGAAUUAUUGGGCGUAAAGAGCUCGUAGGCGGUUUGUCGCGUCUGCUGUGAAAGCCCGGGGCUCAACCCCGGGUCUGCAGUGGGUACGGGCAGACUAGAGUGCAGUAGGGGAGACUGGAAUUCCUGGUGUAGCGGUGAAAUGCGCAGAUAUCAGGAGGAACACCGAUGGCGAAGGCAGGUCUCUGGGCUGUUACUGACGCUGAGGAGCGAAAGCAUGGGGAGCGAACAGGAUUAGAUACCCUGGUAGUCCAUGCCGUAAACGUUGGGCACUAGGUGUGGGGGACAUUCCACGUUUUCCGCGCCGUAGCUAACGCAUUAAGUGCCCCGCCUGGGGAGUACGGCCGCAAGGCUAAAACUCAAAGGAAUUGACGGGGGCCCGCACAAGCGGCGGAGCAUGCGGAUUAAUUCGAUGCAACGCGAAGAACCUUACCAAGGCUUGACAUUCACCGGACCGCCCCAGAGAUGGGGUUUCCCUUCGGGGCUGGUGGACAGGUGGUGCAUGGUUGUCGUCAGCUCGUGUCGUGAGAUGUUGGGUUAAGUCCCGCAACGAGCGCAACCCUCGUUCUAUGUUGCCAGCACGUGAUGGUGGGGACUCAUAGGAGACUGCCGGGGUCAACUCGGAGGAAGGUGGGGAUGACGUCAAAUCAUCAUGCCCCUUAUGUCUUGGGCUUCACGCAUGCUACAAUGGCCGGUACAAAGGGUUGCGAUACUGUGAGGUGGAGCUAAUCCCAAAAAGCCGGUCUCAGUUCGGAUUGAGGUCUGCAACUCGACCUCAUGAAGUCGGAGUCGCUAGUAAUCGCAGAUCAGCAACGCUGCGGUGAAUACGUUCCCGGGCCUUGUACACACCGCCCGUCAAGUCACGAAAGUUGGUAACACCCGAAGCCGGUGGCCUAACCCCUUGUGGGAGGGAGCCGUCGAAGGUGGGACUGGCGAUUGGGACUAAGUCGUAACAAGGUAACCGU
rnacentral:rRNA from 1 species